AUGACUAAUUUGCCAUGGUUAGUGGCAGGGGAUUUUAACAAAAUAUUACAUGCUCAUGAGAAAGAAGGGGGGCAGGCACGCUCCCAAUGUUGUAUGCAUGCUUUUAGCAGUGCGCUGAGCGACUGCGGGCUUGACGACCUUGGCUAUUCGGGGGACAUUUUAAGUUGGCGAAGAGGUCGAAUACAAGAACGACUUGACAGAGCUGUUUCGAAUAGCACUUGGGCAGACCUGUUUCCAACAUAUGGUGUUUCAAAUGAACCUUUUAACAAGUCGGAUCACCGACCGAUCUUGAUUGAGACUGACUUCCAGCAAGGUUUACAACCAAGGGGUCCAACGGAUCCAAGGAAAUUCGAAGCAAGAUGGCUCACGGAGGAAGAUGUCGAGGUGAUAGUUCACACUGCGUAG
rnacentral:rRNA from 1 species